rnacentral:rRNA from 1 species
CAAUACCGCGUGAGGGAGGAAGGCUCUUGGGUCGUAAACCUCUUUUCUCAGGGAAGAAAAAAAUGACGGUACCUGAGGAAUAAGCAUCGGCUAACUCCGUGCCAGCAGCCGCGGUAAUACGGAGGAUGCAAGCGUUAUCCGGAAUGAUUGGGCGUAAAGCGUCCGCAGGUGGCUGUGUAAGUCUGCUGUUAAAGAGUCUAGCUCAACUAGAUAAAAGCAGUGGAAACUACACGGCUAGAGUGCGUUCGGGGCAGAGGGAAUUCCUGGUGUAGCGGUGAAAUGCGUAGAGAU